GGAUGUGAGGGAGAUCUGGCCGCGACAUCUGUCACCCACUGAUCAUUAGGGUUGAUUGGGCUGAUCUGGCUGGCCAGGCAGGUGCCCCCUUCCUCCCUCACUGCCCCAUGUGCGUCCCUCCCUGAGCUGCUUGCUCAGUCUAAGGGGAUGAAAAGUAUACAACUAGCUGCGCUCCCCUCCUAGAACCUCCAAACCAGGUCUAAAGAACAGAAGCUUGAGUUUUCUGUGGGAACAGAAAGGGAGAGUUCUUGGAUGUGGGGGUCCUAAGGGAACCCAUUCUUU
rnacentral:snRNA from 1 species